rnacentral:rRNA from 1 species
GAUCCUGGCUCAGGACGAACGCUGGCGGCGUGCUUAACACAUGCAAGUCGAACGAAGAGCGAUGGAAGCUUGCUUCUAUCAAUCUUAGUGGCGAACGGGUGAGUAACGCGUAAUCAAACCUGCCCUUCAGAGGGGGACAACAGUUGGAAACGACUGCUAAUACCGCAUACGAUCUAAUCUCGGCAUCGAGGAUGGAUGAAAGGUGGCCUCUAUUUAUAAGCUAUCACUGAAGAGGGG